rnacentral:rRNA from 1 species
GAUGAACGCUGGCGGCGUGCCUAAUACAUGCAAGUCGAGCGAAUGGAUUAAGAGCUUGCUCUUAUGAAGUUAGCGGCGGACGGGUGAGUAACACGUGGGUAACCUGCCCAUAAGACUGGGAUAACUCCGGGAAACCGGGGCUAAUACCGGAUAACAUUUUGAACCGCAUGGUUCGAAAUUGAAAGGCGGCUUCGGCUGUCACUUAUGGAUGGACCCGCGUCGCAUUAGCUAGUUGGGGAGGUAACGGCUCACCAAGGCAACGAUGCGUAGCCGACCUGAGAGGGUGAUCGGCCACACUGGGACUGAGACACGGCCCAGACUCCUACGGGAGGCAGCAGUAGGGAAUCUUCCGCAAUGGACGAAAGUCUGACGGAGCAACGCCGCAUGAGUGAUGAAGGCUUUCGGGUCGUAAAACUCUGUUGUUAGGGAAGAACAAGUGCUAGUUGAAUAAGCUGGCACCUGACGGUACCUAACCAGAAAGCCACGGCUAACUACGUGCCAGCAGCCGCAGUAA